UGGGGAAUUUUGGACAAUGGGCGAAAGCCUGAUCCAGCAAUGCCGCGUGUGUGAAGAAGGCCUUCGGGUUGUAAAGCACUUUUGUCCGGAAAGAAAUGGCUCUGGUUAAUACCUGGGGUCGAUGACGGUACCGGAAGAAUAAGGACCGGCUAACUACGUGCCAGCAGCCGCGGUAAUACGUAGGGUCCAAGCGUUAAUCGGAAUUACUGGGCGUAAAGCGUGCGCAGGCGGUUGUGCAAGACCGAUGUGAAAUCCCCGAGCUUAACUUGGGAAUUGCAUUGGUGACUGCACGGCUAGAGUGUGUCAGAGGGGGGUAGAAUUCCACGUGUAGCAGUGAAAUGCGUAGAGAUGUGGAGGAAUACCGAUGGCGAAGGCAGCCCCCUGGGAUAACACCGACGCUCAUGCACGAAAGCGUGGGGAGCAAACAGG
rnacentral:rRNA from 1 species